UGGGGAAUAUUGCACAAUGGGCGCAAGCCUGAUGCAGCCAUGCCGCGUGUGUGAAGAAGGCCUUCGGGUUGUAAAGCACUUUCAGCGAGGAGGAAGGGUAGUGUGUCAAUAGCACAUUGCAUUGACGUUACUCGCAGAAGAAGCACCGGCUAACUCCGUGCCAGCAGCCGCGGUAAUACGGAGGGUGCAAGCGUUAAUCGGAAUUACUGGGCGUAAAGCGCACGCAGGCGGUUUGUUAAGUCAGAUGUGAAAUCCCCGCGCUUAACGUGGGAACUGCAUUUGAAACUGGCAAGCUAGAGUCUUGUAGAGGGGGGUAGAAUUCCAGGUGUAGCGGUGAAAUGCGUAGAGAUCUGGAGGAAUACCGGUGGCGAAGGCGGCCCCCUGGACAAAGACUGACGCUCAGGUGCGAAAGCGUGGGGAGCAAACA
rnacentral:rRNA from 1 species